rnacentral:rRNA from 1 species
AUUGAACGCUGGCGGCAGGCCUAACACAUGCAAGUCGAACGAGUGGCGGACGGGUGAGUAAUGUCUGGGAAACUGCCCGAUGGAGGGGGAUAACUACUGGAAACGGUAGCUAAUACCGCAUACCAUCGGAUGUGCCCAGAUGGGAUUAGCUUGGAGGUGGGGUAACGGCUCACCAAGGCGACGAUCCCUAGCUGGUCUGAGAGGAUGACCAGCCACACUGGAACUGAGACACGGUCCAGACUCCUACGGGAGGGAGCAGUGGGGAAGAUUGCACAAUGGGCGCAAGCCUGAUGCAGCCAUGCCGCGUGUAUGAAGAAGGCCUUAGGGUUGUAAAGUACUUUCAGCGGGGAGGCGUUACCCGCAGAAGAAGCACCGGCUAACUCCGUGCCAGCAGCCGCGGUAAUUC